rnacentral:rRNA from 1 species
GAUGAACGCUGGCGGCGUGCCUAAUACAUGCAAGUCGAGCGAACAGACGAGGAGCUUGCUCCUCUGACGUUAGCGGCGGACGGGUGAGUAACACGUGGAUAACCUACCUAUAAGACUGGGAUAACUUCGGGAAACCGGAGCUAAUACCGGAUAAUAUAUUGAACCGCAUGGUUCAAUAGUGAAAGACGGUUUUGCUGUCACUUAUAGAUGGAUCCGCGCCGCAUUAGCUAGUUGGUAAGGUAACGGCUUACCAAGGAAACGAUCCGUAGCCGACCUGGACGCGUGAUCGGCCACACUGGAACUUAGACACGGUCCAGACUCCUACGGGAGGCAGCCGUAGGGAAUCUUCCGCAAUGGGCGAAAGCCUGACGGAGCAACGCCGCGUGAGUGAUGAAGGUCUUCGGAUCGUAAAACUCUGUUAUUAGGGAAGAACAAAUGUGUAAGUAACUAUGCACGUCUUGACGGUACCUAAUCAGAAAGCCACGGCUAACUACGUG